rnacentral:rRNA from 1 species
CGUAGGGUGCGAGCGCUAAUCGGAAUUACUGGGCGUAAAGCGUGCGCAGGCGGUUUGUUAAGAUAGGCGUGAAACUCCCCGGGCUCAACCGUGGGAACUGCGCUUAUGACUGGCAAGCUAGAGUACGGCAGAGGGGGUGGAAUUCCACGUGUAGCAGUGAAAUGCGUAGAGAUGUGGAGGAACACCAAUGGCGAAGGCAGCCCCCUGGGUCGAUACUGACGCUCAUGCACGAAAGCGUGGGUAGCAAACAGGAUUAGAUACCCUGGUAGUCCACGCCCUAAACGAUGUCAACUAGGUGUUGGGAGGGUAAAACCUUUUAGUACCGGAGCUAACGCGUGAAGUUGACCGCCUGGGGAGUACGGCCGCAAGGUUA